ensembl:lncRNA
AAUGACCUAAUGGGUCUUUUUUUCCAUCUCCACUGUUCACUUCUAUUAUUGUAGGCAAAACCAGAUUUGGCAAUAAAAUUAUGGAUUUCCAAUUGUCACUGCAAUGUUGCAGCACUCUUAUUCCAUAAUAAUAGCAGUAUUUGCCCACUUUUCAUUUCCCUCUAUAAACUUUUGUGUCUUAUUUUUCCUUCAAAGAGGGCUAUUUUGUAGCCCUCUGACUAAAAACAGCAGUCAGACAGCCUAAUAAUACUGCUUGUAGGUAUAGGAUAAAUAUUUGGGCCUUGUGCCUCCUAAUUUUCAUCAAGAACUCUUCAGUCAGACCUCAAGUCCAGGGUAACAGUACUGGGCAAAAUGUCACUGCUUGUAUCUAUGGGUCAUCCUGUGAAAUAAGGGGAUGCAUGUACAGCCAAGUGUUGGGCUUUUGUUGAUUUCCACAAACAUAAAUUAUGAAGGCAUGGCAUGCAGCACAUCUUUGUGAUUAGUAGAUAGGGCUCCUUAUAUGAUUUCAACACUUUUCUUCUUUCCAUUGAAACCAGUCUUUGACCUGGAGUGUUUUCACACUUCCUAAGAGGUGCAGGCAAAGGUGAUUCUUGCUCUUCUGUUCAGGCAUCUCCAGUACCCAUCAAUGCCCUGCAUCCCUUCCCUUGUUCUCAGAAACCCUACAUAGACUUAUAAAGUGAAGAGGCUCAAACAAAUGAUAACUCACCAAAAAUAACAGGUAAGAAAUGGUGCAAGGACAGCAGCAAUUGCACGUGGUGCUUUAUGGGCUUGCUUCUCAGCAGCUGUUUUUUUCUUUUUUUUCAGAUGGUAGUGCCAAGAAUUUUGAUAGUUAAUACUGAUGUCAAAACUGAAGUAAUGCUGCAAUGAGUCAGGCCCUGCUUCUUCGAAAUGCUGUGUAAAUAUUUGCCAGUUACUUUUCCCAGCAGCCAGCAAGCUAUGCAGUCUUGUUGCUGCUUUUUCAGAAGACAGAUUGGUGGAGGUGAAAUCCAGGAAGACCUGAGUGUUAUGUUACAGUCAUACAGCAAGGAUGGACAAAGGGCAUUGAAGCCCGUACUUCAUAAUCAGCCCCAGAUAAACCUAUCAAGUACUGGAUCUACCUUCUGAGUUGAUGGUACUGAACUGCAGUGUAAGAACUAAAAACCCAAAGCAUUUUAUUGCAUGAAAUCAUAAGAAAGAAAACCGUAUCACAGCUGAGUACAGUGAUAAUUUCUUCUGCCUUAUUUUACACUAAAAGUAAAUAUCAUACAUGAUUGACACAGAUCUACUUGCAUGCAGAGGUAAGAAGACACAGCACAUGAAGGUGGUUUCCAUCCCCAUGCUCAGAUAGCCCAUGUACUUUGUUCCUGCAGUGGGGAAGGUGAGCUGUCACACAUCUCAGUAAGCUUCAGAUACCUCACAGUCCGUGAGCUGAACACACCCCCACAGGACUUCUGGAGCUUCAGUCUUGCUGCCAGGCUGCCCACAGCCCUCCCUCAGCAGCUGGCUGCGUUAGCUGUUCCCAGCAGCGUGGUGGGACCAGUCCUGCAAGCACAGGGAGGGUGAGCGCUGGGGCGGUGCUGCGGCGGGCCAGCAGGAUGCUGCUCUCAUCAUGUGGCCUGUCCUUGUCAAACCAGUUGUGCCACUGGCAUUGCUACCACUCUUCCUCUUAUCCUGGUUUGCUACUUUCUCCACUCUUCAAAUAGUUACCCUUUGUUGGCCUUAUUGAGCCUUCCCAUCUUUCUUCUGCUCCCAGCUUUGCCAUUAAUGUCUUUCAUAACAAACACAGACAGAGAAACAAACCUGUCAUUUAUUUUUGUGCCCAUAUACCUUGUUGCCCAUCCUCUUAAGUGCAUUCUUUCAAUGAAAUUUAAUUUAGCAGCUGCAGCUGUACUCAUUGCUUAAAAUAAAUAUAUUAAGAGGUGUAGAAAAUGGUCAGGUAUUCAAGGAAAGUGCUUGCACUUAUGCUUGCUGCUGACAUUUGCAGUGCUCUUUAAGAGGCCUGAGCUGUUGCCAUAUGUUUCUGCAGGAUAAAAUGACUUAAGAUUCUAUUUUGGUCUCUAAUUUCUAUCAUUAAAUGAACAUCUCUGGUAACACUGAGAUGGAACUUCAAGUUUCCAAUGCAUUUUCCAAAAGGAAUAGGAGAUAACCCAAGUGUCUAGUGUUAGAGUCACAGCAUCAGGACUGGAGAUGAGCCAACACUAAAGUCUGUGUGGCAGCUGUCUCUACCUAAGCAAGUUGACUUAAUGCUCAGUGAGCUGAAGUUUAAGAACAACUUUCCAUGGAACUAUUGAGAUGCUUUAAGAAAGGCACAUAACUAGAAGUUAGCAAGCUUUUUCCCCCCCCCCCCCCCCCCCCCCCCC